rnacentral:rRNA from 1 species
GACGAACGCUGGCGGCGUGCUUAACACAUGCAAGUCGAACGCUGAAGCUCAUCUUUUGUUGGGUGGAUGAGUGGCGAACGGGUGAGUAACACGUGAGUAACCUGCCCCCUUCUUUGGGAUAACGUCCGGAAACGGGUGCUAAUACUGGAUCUUCACUUGUCUUUGCAUGGGGUUUGGUGGAAAGGGUUUUUUUGGUGGGGGGUGGGGUCGCGGCCUAUCAGCUGGUUGGUGGGGUGAUGGCCUACCACGGCUUUGACGGGUGGCCGGCCUGGGAGGGUGACCGGAAAGGUUGGGAGUGAGAUAGGGCCCAGAGUCCUGCGCGAGGCAGCAGGGGGGAAUAGUGCAGGGUGAGAGCAAGCAUGGGGCAGAGACGCCGCGUGAGGGAUGGAGGGCGUCGGGUUGUGAUCCUCGUUCGGUAAAGGUCAAGCCGCAACAAAGGUUGUAGUGACGGUAGUGGGUAAAGAAGCGCCGGCUAACUACGUG